rnacentral:tRNA from 1 species
GCCGGGGUGGCUCAGUUGGUUAGAGCGUACGGCUCAUAACCGUAAGGUCGCGGGUUCGAAUCCCGCCCCCGGCA